UGGAAUUUUUAUGUUGACUAUAAAACAUGCAUGCCACUUUUUACCCUUACUAAAUGGAACUUUUAGAUUAGAUUUUUUGUUUUCUUCUAAAUACUGGCUAUGACACAGUGUAUCUAUAAAUGUAGGCUUGUCUAUUAUAUUUAAACUCUCAAUCUAAUUAGAUUUGUCAAGUUGUAUGUUUAGGCAAAAGGUUGUAUGUUCAGAUUAAGCAGACAUUGAAUAUCAUUGAAAUUUUAAUUAUCGAACAACUUAAUGUUCUCAUGUGUUAGACGAAUAUUUAGGUGAACUUUUGUAUGACUUAGAAAAAGCUUGUUUUGUAACUAAAGACGUCUAGCCAAUAAAAUAGAAAAUUGAGGAAGGUCAGUUUUAGGUAAUAGUUUGCCACGAUCGCAUGCGUGAUAUAUGAAGUGUGAAUAAUAUUGUGAAGAAUACCAUUAUUUUUUAUCUCCAUUUUAUAAUUUAGAUUAAAAUAUAAAGCAACCAAUAUAAUUAUGAAUCUAAUUAAUUAUCAUUGUCUUAUAAGUUUGUUUUGUUGUUUAUUUUUUUGAUUUUUUUAUAAAUAAUUACAUUAUUAUUAAUAUUCCCUUCAAGGAAGCGUUGAUUGGUUGAUGCAAUUAUUAUCUGUAUCGGUUUGAAUGUAUCUUUUUUAAAAUUAAAAGAUAUAAUUUUCUCACUUUUUUUGAACAGUUAAAGUCAUAUGAAACGAGUGACUGUGAAAAAUAAUGUUUAUCCAAUUUCUUCUAAACUAUCCAUUUAGAUAUAAAAAUCAUAUGCAUCAUUUUUUUUUUUAUUUGAGGUUUCAUAUGACUUAAACUAACACUAUUUAAUAAUGUAGAUUGGGAUGAUAAAGAUAGCAAAAUUAUAUCAUCUGUUGUAAAUUUAACGGUUUAUGUAUAUAUAUCAGUAAUUUCAAAAUCAUUACUGUAUAUUUUACAGGAAAUACAUCUGCACUUUUGCAAAUUGUAGAAUCAGAGACAUUAUGUCGUUUCUUUUUACAUGAAUCGUAUUUGACACUCGUUGUUAUUUUCCUUAUUGGCAAUUUAUACAUUUUCCCUUUUAUCUUACUGCCUAAUACUUUUAAGAUCACGAACAGGACUUGAUACCCGAAAAUGUAAUGGUUUGACGUCAUUUUUUAGUCAAGGAACGUCAUAUGAUCAUGUCCAUCCAUGACUUCUUUCAUACAACCUAUCAACUAUCCCAACUUUUUGUAAACGAAAAAAGUGGUUUUUCAAAUUUUCUCAAUUUUCAUAAUCACAACAAAACAACGGUAUGUUAAGCGAAUUGCCGAUAAAAAGAAUAAUGGCAGUUUUUUUUUAUUCUGACUUCGUCAGCUGAAUUACCAGCUCUUUCAAGCGGGAUCACUUGAUAUACUUUCUGAUAAAGUCUGCUCAGAAAGAAAAUGCCAUUAUGCAUCGCUUAGGUUCUUUGAAAAAAGCAAUUCAUGUUAUCAAUAGUUGGAUGGAAUUUCACAGUGUCUACACAUAUAUGAUGAUUAAGGAUUAUGCAAAAGUAGUAUUUGUAUAUACUAAUUUUAUUAUUUUUAUAAAUAAUGGAAAUUUCAGGUCAAUAAAAGUUCAGGCUUGUAACCUAUUUGUAUUGGUUAAAAACUCUAUGUAAC
rnacentral:lncRNA from 1 species